CUGAUGAACUCCUAUCUAUAAAAUCCUCCCGGAGAAAUGCAGCUUUGGCAUCUAGAGAAGGACCAAGCCGGUGUGCUGCUGUGAACAGGAGAGAAGCUGGAGCCACGGGAGAUGUGGAGGAAAUAGACUCGGGCUGGAUGUUUGCCAGCAGCUACGAACCUGAGAACCAACUGGGGCAGCUGCUGAGCUAUAAUGAGUGGAGCUUUGAGAAGAAACAU
rnacentral:lncRNA from 1 species